GAUGAACGCUGGCGGCGUGCCUAAUACAUGCAAGUCGAGCGAACAGACGAGGAGCUUGCUCCUCUGACGUUAGCGGCGGACGGGUGAGUAACACGUGGAUAACCUACCUAUAAGACUGGGAUAACUUCGGGAAACCGGAGCUAAUACCGGAUAAUAUAUUGAACCGCAUGGUUCAAUAGUGAAAGACGGUUUUGCUGUCACUUAUAGAUGGUUCCGCGCCGCAUUAGCUAGUUGGUAAGGUAACGGCUUACAAAGGCAACGAUGCGUAGCCGACCUGAGAGGGUGAUCGGCCACACUGGAACUGAGACACGGUCCAGACUCCUACGGGAGGCAGCAGUAGGGAAUCUUCCGCAAUGGGCGAAAGCCUGACGGAGCAACGCCGCGUGAGUGAUGAAGGUCUUCGGAUCGUAAAACUCUGUUAUUAGGGAAGAACAAAUGUGUAAGUAACUAUGCACGUCUUGACGGUACCUAAUCAGAAAGCCACGGCUAACUACGUG
rnacentral:rRNA from 1 species